AAGAGAAGAGCAUGUCAAGUUAGCCAAGGAGACUGCCUGAAACCAAGGAGAAAAUGGCGUAACCAAACACCUUUUAAAUAAUGGAGCAGGCAAGUCAUCCUUGGCUACUAAACAAAUAUGACUCUCCUCU
rfam:Nicotiana attenuata strain TT chromosome 2, whole genome shotgun sequence.